rnacentral:rRNA from 1 species
GUGCCAGCAGCCGCGGUAAUACGUAGGCAGCGAGCGUUGUUCGGAAUUACGGGGCGUAAAGAGUGUGUAGGCGGUGUUCUAAGUUCGGUGUGAAAUCUCUCGGCUUAACUGGGAGGGUGCGCCGAAAACUGGAAUGCUCGAACGUGGGAGAGGAAAGCGGAAUUCCUGGUGUAGCGGUGAAAUGCGUAGAUAUCAGGAGGAACACCUGCGGUGUAGACGGCUUUCUGGACCAUUGUUGACGCUGAGACACGAAAGCGUGGGUAGCAAACAGGAUUAGAUACCCUGGUAGUCCACGCCCUAAACGAUGCAUACUUGGUGUCGGCCAUUCAGUUGGUCGGUGCCGGAGCUAACGCGUUAAGUAUGCCGCCUGGGGAGUACGGUCGCAAGGCUGAA